AUGGCAACGAACGCUGGAGAUGCUUUAGUCCCCAGAGAAAGAGGGUCACGGGACGGGAGGAGACUACUUGUAAUCCCGGGAGAAAGGACCGGUUCGGAGAGCAGCGGUGCGCGACAGAAAACCAAGUGUCCCGGGCACCCUUUAGACUCCCAAACAACAACCACCCGGAGAGUCCGUCUGCGCUCGGAAGCGCCGGACGGGGGCCCCGGGCUGAGACAGUUCAGCAGCCGCACACCGUGGGCAGGAGAUAAAUCAAAAGAUGAUGGCAGGGCAAGGGGGCGCCGAGAAUACGCUACUCCGCGGGGGAGACAAAGGCUCCGGGGUGAUCGGGGAGCACGCAGAGAGGAUUCCUUGGCCCCGGCAAUUUGACUUUUUUUUACAAGCUUGCAUUAAGCUUUACAUAGCUUGUUAACGUGUACAGCAAUUCAAGAAGGCAAAGGAAGAAAACGAACAGGCCAUUUACUCUAGUGACAUGGAAGGUGAAUGGCAUCAAAGGCACAUUUGGUGAGGGGAAUGGGUACCGACCUCACAAUUUGUCAGAAGUUUUCAUGGUCAUGUGUAAUUAGAAGAAAAUGUUUCCAUGUGUGAUUGCUAUAUUUUCUCUAUUUUGUAACAUGAAAGAAUAAAAAAAGGCGGUUAACACUAAAGAAAUAGUAACACCAUGUGAAUCAUAAAAAUUCCAGUUAUCUGUUUAUAAAGGAAUAUGUUUAAAAUUUGAUUUUUUAAAAUGUUCCCCCUUUUUAUGUAUCCUGUGUUGCAGUGGCUUUGGUUUCUGUGCGAAGCCAGUGUCAAACAACCAUAGUUUUAAAAAAAUGAGCUGGGACAUAAACAAAAGAGCUUGGAUAGCUCCAGCACUGAGUCCAAAGUCUCCACUACUACCUAACUAGCUGGCCAGCUUUUAGAAGAUUUCAGUUUUCCUCAUCUGCAAAUGGGGAGCAUGAAACUUGCUACGCAAGAUCAUUUUUGAGAGGCAUUUGAAAUAUUAGGUGAAUUAGGUGGGUACACAGUAAGCACUUGGUAAAUGUUAUUUCACUCAGUAAACUCUCCUAUCCGUACUUGGGUUCCAUUUUCUUAUCUAGUAGAUGGACAAACACCACCUGUCUUAGAGCUUUGCUGUGUGCAUCAAAUUAGAUAAUUACGUAGACAAUGGAAAGAACUGUCUUUAAGAAAGGCAGUGGUACUUAAUUUUUGACUGGCACAUAUGCUUUUUUAAAAUUGACGGUGGUUAUAUAGCAAAACAACAAAAAAGAUUCCUGCAGUUUCUUCUCUGGCCUAUAUCACUAUUGACCUUGCACCUUGAAAAGAAUGGUUCUUAUCACUUUUUCAAAGUAAACCUUGCAGAAAGUUUCCACUCUUUGCUUCUGUAUUGUUUUGUGUCACUGAUGGUGUAAUGAUAUGUAUCACCUUAUGCAGAGAACCUUUGUGGCUAGCAUCCUUGUCCAAAGCAGAUUCAAGACUAGAUUAAUCAUGGAACAUGUCUACUCAGCCCAGUGAAAUACUGAACUCUAGCACAGCUGACUAACUGAUAAUUCUCUUGAACAUCAUAAUGAAAGUUGUAUAUUGCCUGUAUUAAUAACUGCUGUUGUCAUUAUGUAAAUUUAAAAACUAAUUCAUUUAAAAUUUUUUAAUUUUCAAUUUAAUUUAAUUUUAAUUUUUAAUUUGUGAUGUCAGCAUGUUAUUCCCUUUAAUGAUUUGAUCAAUCUUCUAUUCUCACAUCUGGUAAUCUGAGCAACUUUUUUGAAGAUAAUAAUAUGUAAUAUAACAACCAUUGUUAAUCCCUAUCAUUUGGUUUCAAACCCUGUAUCAUUUUUAACAUCCUUGCUUUGUUUUGUUUGUAUUUUGCUAUUGUUCCUUUUUUGUACUAUUUUCUUUAAAAUAAAAAUUAUUUAUUUAUUUAUUUAUUUAUUUUUUGGUGCCAGGAAUGGAACUCAUGACCUUACACUUGCCAGGCAGGCACCAUGCCAUUGAGCUACAUCCUCUGCCCUAAAAUAAAAACUAAAAAAACAAAUCUUGGGGAUUUAUUACAAGAAAAAAUCCAUGAUUAUUUCUAACUAAAUUAUUACUAGCUAGUGAGUACACAUUUAUUGAUACACAAUAGAUUUGUUUGAAAAGUUCCAUCUCAGUGUAACAGUAACAUAGUUCAUUUGAAAAAUGCACUAGAAAAACAAUUUAAAGGAAUCCAUAAUAUACUGUGUUAGGUAUUAUAACUGGUAUUGCCAGUAUGUAUUUUUUGCUACUUGAGUAUUUAACUGAGUUCUAUGAUGAUUAGUGUCCUGUGGAUAGUAAAAUAAAUUACAUUAAAGUGUUAUGAAUAUUCCACUAAUGGAAAAAACAUUUCUGAAGACCGUAGCUACAAAUGGCCUCCCAUCCAAGUCCUUUGAAAAGAUUUGGAAAUUCAUACAUUCUUUUUCUUUCUUUCCAGCUUUCCAGACACGUGGCCUAAAUUCUACCCUCAGAAUUACUUUUGACUUCAGUGAGAGUUAUAAACUAUCGCCUGAGACAAGCACUUGGCUCC
ensembl:lincRNA